CUGAGCUUCUCCUCGCCACACGUCCUCCACCCGCUCCAGCUCCUGCAGUCACAAAGCAUCCAUCAGCUCCACCUGCACGACGGCCUUCAUGUUCUUCCUCCAUCAACAGAGGAACCAGAUGUUCAAAGAUGUUCGUGGAGCUCAGAGAAAAGAUGAAGAAAAAAGAAGCCGUCCACGCCAUGACUCGGCGUUAAAGGAACUUCUGCUCCGCCUCUCAGGACCCGUGGGACGUUCCUCCCCUUCCUGCUGACAUCGUUGGUGAGAAAUUCCCCGGCAGCUCAGAGUUUCCUCUCACGGCGGUCACGAGUGACCCGGUCACGAGAGGCUGACCUCUGAAGCUGUUUAUAGCUGUGGGCGUCGGCCCGCCGACCCGCCCGCCACAUCCACAAACAACCAAGAUCGGAUUUGGAGCCGUGAAAAUCUGACUGAUUCUGCUGUGAUCCACUUAAUAAAAAAGGGUGAAAAGUU